rnacentral:rRNA from 1 species
GACGAACGCUGGCGGCGUGCCUAAUACAUGCAAGUAGAACGCACAGUUUAUACCGUAGCUUGCUACACCAUAAACUGUGAGUUGCGAACGGGUGAGUAACGCGUAGGUAACCUGCCUGGUAGCGGGGGAUAACUAUUGGAAACGAUAGCUAAUACCGCAUAAUAUUAAUUAUUGCAUGAUAAUUGAUUGAAAGAUGCAAUUGCAUCACUACCAGAUGGACCUGCGUUGUAUUAGCUAGUAGGUGAGGUAACGGCUCACCUAGGCGACGAUACAUAGCCGACCUGAGAGGGUGGUCGGCCACACUGGGACUGAGACACGGCCCAGACUCCUACGGGGAGCAGCAGUAGGGAAACUUCGGCAAUGGACGAAAGUCUGACCGAGCAACGCCGCGUGAGUGAAGAAGGGUUUCGGAUCGGAAAGCUCUGUUGUAAGAGAAGAACGGGUGUGAGAGUGGAAAGUUCACACUGUGACGGUAUCUUACCAGAAAGGGACGGCUAACUACGUG